rnacentral:rRNA from 1 species
GAGUUUGAUCGUGGCUCAGGACGAACGCUGGCGGCGUGCCUAAUACAUGCAAGUAGAACGCUGAGGUUUGGUGUUUACACUAGACUGAUGAGUUGCGAACGGGUGAGUAACGCGUAGGUAACCUGCCUCAUAGCGGGGGGAUAACUAUUGGAAACGAUAGCUAAUACCGCAUAAGAGUAAUUAACACAUGUUAGUUAUUUAAAAGGAGCAAUUGCUUCACUGUGAGAUGGACCUGCGUUGUAUUAGCUAGUUGGUGAGGUAAAGGCUCACCAAGGCGACGAUACAUAGCCGACCUGAGAGGGUGAUCGGCCACACUGGGACUGAGACACGGCCCAGACUCCUACGGGAGGCAGCAGUAGGGAAUCUUCGGCAAUGGACGGAAGUCUGACCGAGCAACGCCGCGUGGGUGAAGAAGGUUUUCGGAUCGUAAAGCUCUGUUGUUAGAGAAGAACGUUGGUAGGAGUGGAAAAUCGUACCAAGUGACGGUAACUAACCAGAAAGGGACGGCUAAUACGUGCCAGCCGCCGCCGUAAUACCG